rnacentral:rRNA from 1 species
AUUAGACGAAUCAUCUGGAAAGAUGAAUCAAAGAAGGUAAUAAUCCUGUAGUCGAAAAUGUUGUCUCUCUUGAGUGGAUCCUGAGUACGACGGAGCACGUGAAAUUCCGUCGGAAUCUGGGAGGACCAUCUCCUAAGGCUAAAUACUCUCUAGUGACCGAUAGUGAACCAGUACCGUGAGGGAAAGGUGAAAAGCACCCCGGAAGGGGAGUGAAAUAGAACCUGAAACCGUGUGCUUACAAGUAGUCAGAGCCCGUUAAUGGGUGAUGGCGUGCCUUUUGUAGAAUGAACCGGCGAGUUACGAUUUGAUGCAAGGUUAAGCAGUAAAUGUGGAGCCGUAGCGAAAGCGAGUCUGAAUAGGGCGUUUAGUAUUUGGUCGUAGACCCGAAACCAGGUGAUCUACCCUUGGUCAGGUUGAAGUUCAGGUA